UGACCGCUGGCGGCGUGCCUACUACAUGCACGUCGAGCGAACAGACGAGGAGCUUGCUCCUCUGACGUUAGCGGCGGACGGGUGAGUAACACGUGGAUAACCUACCUAUAAGACUGGGAUAACUUCGGGAAACCGGAGCUAAUACCGGAUAAUAUAUUGAACCGCAUGGUUCAAUAGUGAAAGACGGUUUUGCUGUCACUUAUAGAUGGAUCCGCGCCGCAUUAGCUAGUUGGUAAGGUAACGGCUUACCAAGGCAACGAUGCGUAGCCGACCUGAGAGGGGGAUCGGCCACACUGGAACUGAGACAGGGCCCAGCCCCCUACGGGAGGCAGGAGGAGGGAAUCUUCCGCAAUGGGGGAAAGCCUGACGGAGCAACGCCGCGGGAGGAAUGAAGGUCUUCGGAUCGUAAAACGCUGUUAUGAGGGAAAAAAAAAUGUGUAAGUAACUAUGCACGUCUUGACGGUACCUAAUCAGAAAGCCCCGGCUAACUACGU
rnacentral:rRNA from 1 species